rnacentral:lncRNA from 9 species
CAGGGAUCAAACCUGCAUCCUCAUGGAUACUCGUCAGGUUCUUAACCCACUGAGCCACAUGGGAACUCCCUAUGCAUUCUUUUUUAUCUUCUUUUCCAUCAAGGUCCAUUCCAGGAAUUGGAUAUGGUUCCCUGUGCUCCACAGUAGGACCUCGUUGUUCUGAGGUAUUUUGGGCCUCAGGUCAUCUACUACGUGCUGGGGUCUACACCCUCAAGGACCUUACUAACCCCUGGAGAGAGAGGCGUCAGCAGUGAGGACCCAGUAUGAAGCAUGAUGUGUGCUGUGGAAAGGGGGCUUCUGGAGGCACCAAGUGGGCACCAACCCAACACCCAGGUGGCGGAAUUCGUCUGAGACUGGAAGAACAGGAGUUCAUCAGAUGGACGAGGUGAGACAGGACAUCCCAGGGAAAGAGAAUCUCACAGAAAGAGGUCCGAGAGAGAGGAUGACGCUUCGGAGGAGGCAGCAGAGAAAGUGUUUUCACCCACAUGGCUGGUGCAAGUAUCCAUUGCUUAGAUAGCACCUCGACGAAGGACAAUCCAGCAAUAAUCUUUGAGGUUACGAACACACAUAUCCUUUCACCCAGAAACUCCACCUCCGAGAACUGAUCUUGCAAACACCCUCCCACAUGUGCAAAGUGAGGUACUUACAAGGUCAUUCAAUGCAGCAUUGUUUGUAAUGGCGAAAGGCUUUGGGAUGACCUAAAUGUCCACCAAUAGGAGUCUGGUUAGAUGAAUUCUAGCACAGCCCUGCAAAGAAUAUUCGGCAGUGGAAAAAAGAAUGAAGCCGUUCUUUCUCUUCUGGUAGGAAAUGAUCUCCAUGAGUAUCUUUAGGUGAUAAAAAGCAAAGCAUCAACCAAAUAUGAUGUGUGGACCAUGCUUGCAUUUAGAUUUGAACAAAGCAGCAUCUGUUAAACAGAGCGAAAAAGAGAGAGACCAUCGGGGAACUCUAAAUGCCCAUUGGAUAGUUUAUGAUACACAUUUUUUAAACAUGUAAUAGAUAUUGUAGUUAUUUUUAAGUCAUUUUCUUUUAGUGAUAUAUGCUGAAGUAUUUGUAGAUAAAAUUAUACAGUGUCAGAGAUUUGCUUUAAAAUAAUCAGGGAGGGGGGAGUAGGGCUGAGUAGGUCCAGGUAGAACAAAACUGGCCAUGUGUGAUAAUUGCCGAAGUGAGCUGAAGGCUGGGGCGGGGGAGGGGCGUUUCACGUGAUUUUCUCGACUUUUGUAUACGUGCGAAAUUUUUCUAUGACAAAAAGAUCUUAGAAAGCAAGAAACAGAAUAGCGUAUUCAAAAUGUUCCCACUUAAAUGGGCAGAACCUCAGUUCUCCCAAACGAUAAGUAGAUAGAUAGAUGGAUAGAUAGAGAGAUAGGUGAGUGUUCUCCUGGGAUCGGUUAGGCUAUUUGGGAAUACGACUAGUUUAAAAACUUAAUUUUAAUAUAGUGUGGAAAAUGUGGGCAUACAGGGAGAUGAAUAACCUAAAGUGGAGAGAGGGGGUAGUUGGGAGGUUUCUCAAAGGAUGACAUCUGUGCUGCCUCCUGAAAGAUGCUCAGGAACUUGCCGGAUGAGGAGUGUGAGGGGAGAGUCACGCAUCUUGGAUUGAGGGAAAAGCAAGAGCAGAGGCAAGGAAAUGGAAAGAAUAUAGCAGGUGUAACUAAGGAUACUACUUUGUAUUAAUAGGACUUAAAUCAAUACUGUACUGUUGUCAUAUAUAUAUAUAUAUAUAUA